rnacentral:rRNA from 1 species
UACGGGAGGCAGCAGUGGGGAAUAUUGCACAAUGGGCGAAAGCCUGAUGCAGCUAUGCCGCGUGUAUGAAGAAGGCCUUAGGGUUGUAAAGUACUUUCAUCGGGGAGGAAAAAACAAAACUAAUAAUUUUAUUUCUUGACGUUACCCGAAAAAGAAGCACCGGCUAACUCCGUGCCAGCAGCCGCGGUAAUACGGAGGGUGCGAGCGUUAAUCGGAAUUACUGGGCGUAAAGGGCACGCAGGCGGUUAAUUAAGUUGGAUGUGAAAUCCCCGGGCUUAACCUGGGAAUGGCAUUCAAGACUGGUUAGCUAGAGUCUUGUAGAGGGGGUAGAAUUCCAUGUGUAGCGGUGAAAUGCGUAGAGAUGUGGAGGAAUACCGGUGGCGAAGGCGGCCCCUGGACAAAGACUGACGCUCAUGUGCGAAAGCGUGGGGAGCAAACAGGGAUUAGAUACC